rnacentral:rRNA from 1 species
AACGAACGCUGGCGGCAUGCCUAACACAUGCAAGUCGAACGAAGCCUUCGGGCUUAGUGGCGCACGGGUGCGUAACGCGUGGGAAUCUGCCCUUGGGUUCGGAAUAACAGUUAGAAAUGACUGCUAAUACCGGAUGAUGUCUUCGGACCAAAGAUUUAUCGCCCAAGGAUGAGCCCGCGUAGGAUUAGGUAGUUGGUGGGGUAAUGGCCCACCAAGCCGACGAUCCUUAGCUGGUCUGAGAGGAUGAUCAGCCACACUGGGACUGAGACACGGCCCAGACUCCUACGGGAGGCAGAAGUGGGGAAUAUUGGACAAUGGGCGAAAGCCUGAUCCAGCAAUGCCGCGUGAGUGAUGAAGGCCUUAGGGUUGUAAAGCUCUUUUACCAGGGAUGAUAAUGACAGUACCUGGAGAAUAAGCUCCGGCUAACUCCGUGCCAGCCGCCGCCGUAAGAC